GAUUCCAGAACAGACAGUCGGCGACGGGGAGAGGAGAGGACAGAUGCUCACCAAAGUGCAGGGGAGCAAGGAGACCUCAGUCCUGCCUCGCACUGGGGCGUGGAACACUGACCCGUACACCCCAGCGGGGGGAGAGAUGGGUCAGCUGCUUCCCCGGCUUCAUAUCUAACUCCUGAAGGCAUCAUGAUGUAGAGGGACCAGCUGAAACUCUAUACAGGUACUGGCUGGACUUGACUUUCUCAGAUAUAUUUUAGAAUACAUGGGACACUGGCUGGGCAGAGUCAGCUUGGAGCAGCAUUUUUCACCAUGGAUUCAAGGGGCAUAUGUAUUUGUACGUAAGAUACCACACUUCGACCCAAGCAUUGCCUUUGAGCUAUACAUUCAAAAGCCUGUGGCACUGUGCGAGUGCUGGGGACCCAAUCAACCCUGAUGUGAUGGAAGAAUGGAAAGUGCAAAAAAUGAUGAUGAAAGUGAAACCUGGCUCUGCGGGAAAGCUGUUGCCAGGGUAUGAUGUCAAGGCAUCAUACAUCUGGUGACUAAGUCUCUUUCUCUUGCAUAAUCCCUUUACAUUGAAGAGGUUUGAAAGCUCUAAUAUGGAGUUAUACCCUGUACCAUCAUUCAGCAGUGAAUGAGAGUGAAGAAAUGAAUGUUACUGUCUUAAACUGAGCACACAAAGCAAGCAGUUGGACUUCCCUGUUGUGCCAUCAUGAAUGUAGGUGAUGGCCUACUGCCAGCUGACAGUUACAUGUCAAAUGUUAAGACAAUGGUAGAAUUGUUAACUUAAGGAAGAGUGGAAGUGAAUGUUGGUUCCUGGUAUUAACACAACUGGUGAAUCAGAUUCUAGCACCCAAUCAGUUUGCAAUAUUGGUUAAGACGUUCAGUAUUUUUCUUUAAGUUCUGAAGUUUCCCCACCCUGUUACUUUGGAGUAAGACCCUGGGGUCUUACUAAUUUCAUUACAUGUUUGCAUAGUACGAUUAUAGAUGAAAACAGCAUCUUAUUUUGUAUUGCAAUAUCCUCUCUUUUCCUAUAGAUGGAGUUUGUUUGACAGUUGCCAAAAACUAUUAGUGGGAAGACCAGAAGAUAUGAACUGCACCAGGAGCAGAGAAAAGAUUAGAAGACUGCUGGAAAUUCGACUGCGACAAAAACAGAGCGAGGAAAACAAGGAAGCAAAGCAGCAAACCAACCAACCCCAAAGCCGGGGAGCUUAGAGCCGUUCACAGACGCCACCCCGCUUGCUGCGGUCGGGGGUUGACCUGUCAGCAGCGCCAAGGAGCGUUCGGAGCGGGCCCCGGUCACCCCCCGUCGCGCCCCUCCCGCACUCACCGACCUCGGGCGCGCGCCGCCCCGCGUCCCGCCAGCACGUGGCCUCGAAGUCGAUGACGAUCAGGCCAUGGCGAAGGCUGGCUGCCUGAACGGGUGCAAGAGGCCCACCGGCGAGGGCACGGCGGGACAGGCGGAUCGGAAGAGGAGGAAGGCGGAUGGCGGCGGCCGGGGUCCUGAGGAAAAGUCAUCUCGCUUGUCAGCAGCUCUGUUUGGUGAGGACUGUGAGAUCAGCCACGACCAGCUGUAUGAGUUGUUGAAGUAUGCAGCUCUGGGAAAGCGCCACAAUGCAACACAGCCCAGCUGGUGCCGUAUUUCUCACCAAAGCCACCUGGCUGGGGUCGUGGUUAUUGUUCUACAUGAAAUGAGCCAACUCCAUUUCUACAAAUUCUAUUUGCAGUUCAAACACCUCAGGAAAGUGUUCCAGCAUAGAUUCAUAUUAACACCUUCAACUAACUUUUUCGCCAGCCUGUAUGGAGAAGGAGCAAACCUGAAACCUCAGAACACUGCACAAGGUUUGACUUCCACUGGCAGUGAAUGUAUUCCAAAGAACUCGGACUUGCAAUGUGAUCCCAUCAUUCGGAAAUAUGGAGAAAAAACCCAAGGCCUUACUAGCUAUAUUCUAACUUCAGAAGAGCAGAGGAAAAAUGACUAUCCCAUAAAAGGCUCCCCUGGAUGUAAGGGCUAUAUAUAUACAGAGUGUGAUCAGCAGAGGACAGACAGCAGCCCCCUCUUUGGUCUGGAUUGUGAAAUGUGCCUGACUGCAAAAGGGAAUGAAGUCACUCGUGUCUCUUUGGUGGAUGCACGGGGUCAAUGCCUCUUGAACGAACUAGUCAAACCUGAAAGCAGAGUAAUGAACUACCGCACCAGAUUCUCAGGAGUCACAAAGAAAAUGCUUCUUCCAGUGAAAACAAGACUGUCAGACAUCCAAACCAGACUAAAAGAAAUGCUUCCCCAUGAUGCAGUAUUGGUGGGUCAUUCUCUAAAUGCUGAUCUUCAGGCUUUGGAAAUGAUCCACCCCAGUGUUAUUGACACUUCAUUGCUAUUUGCCAGAAAUGAAGGUCGAAGAUUUAAGCUCAAAUUUCUAGCCAAAGCUGUUUUAGGGAAGGAGAUUCAGUGUGAACAGAAGCUUGGGCAUGAUCCUGCAGAAGAUGCUAGAGCUGCAUUGGAAUUGGCUCAAUUCUUUAUUGAGCAAGGACCAGCAAAGGUAGCAGAACUAAACUUGGAGAUGCUUCUGACAACUGAAAAACUGGCUGAGGACUCACAGAACAAAGCUGCAUUACAUCCACAAGGAUGUAGAGUCCAGAAACAGUUGAAUGAGCCUCCACAUUUAUCCAAACCAUGUUUUUUAGACUGCUUGAAGGUGACUGGCCAAAAACCCGUUCUUUUGGGCAGACAGGGACUAGACUCUUCUAGCCUGUGUCAGAGUAACCUGAGCACUUCAAACAAACAGAUUCUUCAGAGAGCCUUAGAAGAUGUUCCCCUGUCCACAUUCAGUAUCAUUCAGUUCAGUUUGGGUCCAGAGUACAUUGCAUCUCACCUUCUUGCACUUUGUGAACAGGUGAGAAGCAAGCUGACUGACAUGCUGACAAUUUAUGCAGGUCCUUUUGAAGAAGGCUUUUGCCUACACUCUGUGAAAAAAGAAUUUGGGAGGUGUGGACCAAUCCAGUCUCUUACAGUGGUAACUGAAACAUACCAGCCUUAUGUCUGUAUCCAAUAUGAAGUGCUGGAAGCUGCCCAGCUUGCUGUGGAAAGCCUAAAUGGAGCUGAGGUAGCAGGAUCCUGCAUUAAGGUCCAGAGACCUGUCACUGCAGCAAUGCUGGACUGUGACAUUUUGAUAAAGGAACUAGAACUGGACGUAGAAAAUGAAGGUGUGAUUUAUGUGGCGGGUCUGAAGAAGUCAUUAACAGAGAUGGACUUGCAAGAAGAAUUUAGCCAGUUAAAAGACCUGGAAACACUGUUUCUGCCAAAGGACCUCCAGAGUGGCAAGCACAGGAACUGCUGUUUCCUCAAAUUCCAGGAAUCACAGAGUGCUGCGGAUGCCCUUGAAGUUAUAAAUGCAUGGACUUUGAAGGGUAGCAAACUAAGAAGUAGGAAUGCUCUCGCUUCAGGUCACCUCUGGAGAUGGAUUUGGCAAAUGAAUCACAGCAAUGGAAAUCAAAGAGCACAUAUCUUAUAUGAGAAGAUGGAGCAACUGUCUGACUCUGAGCAAGAUCUGAGGAAGAAGGUGAAGAAGUUAGACCACCAUAUCAAAAAGCUUUAUAGAAGUCUUCAGAAUAAUACCCUGUGCGUUGUUCUCUUUCCUGGAGUGAACAGGUAACUUGCCACCGAUUUUGCAAAGUGCCAAGGAAAAUACAUAGCCAAAUGUUUUUAUCUUAAUCUAUUAAAACCCUGCACAAGGAAGUGAAAGCCUAAGAGAAGGCCUGAAGAAGCUGUUGUACUUCUUCAGUCGGACUUUCAUGUUUGGCCAGUAAAACCUCAGCAGUAAGUUCUGCCCACAAGCCAUGCCUGAUCCAGAACAAGCACAAGUGCUGAAACCACUUAUGUCGCUGAUGGGCCAGAUUAGCAAGGCUGAAGUACACAGCAUUGAUUAAUUACACAGGUCUUCUCAGUUCACCAUAUUUCAUCCCUGUUACCAACAAGGCAUGGAGCACAACCUGGCCUUGGUCUGAUGGCAGUAAAAGAUGACAGAGGGAGGAGUGCUUAUUGAACUGCCAAGUU